rnacentral:rRNA from 1 species
AGAACGAACGCUGGCGGCACGCCUAACACAUGCAAGUCGAACGGAGUAUAGACUUCGGUUUAUGCUUAGUGGCAAACGGGUGAGUAACGCGUGGGAAUCUGCCCAUCAGUGGGGAACAACUUCGGGAAACUGAAGCUAAUACCGCAUACGUCCUUAGGGAGAAAGACUUCGGUC